rnacentral:ncRNA from 2 species
CAUUCCGAGGAGCGCUGCAAGGCGUGGCCCACAAGGCUGCCCCCAGGCUCGGAUUCAAACUGCGCUCACCUGAA